CAAUGCAACCAGCAAAAGCGUUGUUGUUUUUGCGGCAAGUGCCUGCGAAUGUGUUGCAGCUAAAAGUGGGCCAUGCACAGGUUGUUUCAACAUGGGAGAACGAAUUGGUUGAAUGUGCAACACUGGAAGUGGGACAAAAUAGCUAUGGUAUACAUGACUUGAACCACUGCCACUUUAUUGAGGCCAAACAAGGGAAUAGAAAAUGCAGCAUCAGCAUUGGCCGAACAAAGAGUAAAGAGGACGACAGGCUAAGAACUCGUUUCUACUUCUAUUUAUGCGUGCAUAAGCAAUUUGUAUUGGUACCGAACACAAGUUGCAACAAAUAGGAAACAUAUAAGAAAGUAACAGCAAAAACAAUUAUGUAGCUGAUGGCUACGGCAUACAAGCAGCAAGUGAACUGGCAAAUGUACAUAUGUAUUUAGGUAACUGGGUUAUCAACGCAAUUUGUUGCAGAAUAAAUCAUACAACAAUAUUGGUGUGUAUAAAUGUUGUCAAACACCUUCACAGGACAUAUUGUUAAGCCGCAGAAAAUUGCUUAGACAGCAUGGCUGAGCAGAGACGGGGUGACAAGUUUUUUUCGUUAUUGUUUUUACACUCGCUGUCCUACAACGUUUCGCGUACAAAACGAUUAAUAGACAAAUUUUUGUUUGUUUCAAUGACCAAUAACUAGUCGUUGUUAUUGCUGUUGUGCUUAAAGAUUAGUGCCUAAUAUAAUAUAUCAAAGGCUUUGCAGCGCCGCUUGGGGUAGAGUGCAGUAGCUGCGAAAGAUAAUGCUGUCAACAAUCCGACACUAACCAAAAAUUGUUUUAAUAAGCAGCAGAAUUGCAUUAACUUGUGCCUUAAUAUCUGUUGCAUGCCUCAUUACGCCUUCUGCCUGUAGGACAGCAACGCUGUUGUAUUUUUUGUUUCCCCUUCAUACUCAUUAAUCGCGAGUGUUGCGAAUUUGAGUAAAACCAAUUAAGGUCGCGAAAUUAUUGGAAAAUUGUGUGAAAUAAUUUGUUUAAAAUUGGCUUAACAGGACAAUAAUAGUAGUUUAAGGGAAAUAGUUAUGCAAUUGAAGGAAAAGUGUAAUUUAUAUAUAUAUAUUAUAUGGAAGUUGAAAGGAGAAGGCAAACAAGUAG